rnacentral:rRNA from 1 species
GCUUACGGCCAUACCACCUGAACGCGCCCGAUCUCGUCUGAUUCGGAAGCCAAGCAGGGUCGGGCCUGGUCAGUACUUGGACGGGAGACCGCCUGGGAAUACCAGUGCUGUAAGCU